rnacentral:lncRNA from 1 species
UUUUAGCAUUUUGGUGUCCUUGUGUUAUGUGUGAGUUUUGAAGCUGAACAUUGUUAAAUUUUGUUUUAAUAGGUUAUUUCCUUCCAAUCCCAUCCCAAAUGGAGGUUGCAGCAGGGUAGAGUUUUUGGACAAUCUUGUUUACUGCUGCAUCCCCAGUGUCAAGAAGGCUGCCUGAACAUAGAAAGUCUUCAAUAUAUAUUUGCUGAAAUAAAAGUAAAAAUUCAGUCUGGUGUCUCCAUAAUCACAGCCAUGGCCUUGUAAACAGGUAGUGAUGCGGACAGAGCCAUCUGUGCUGCGCUGCAGACCCACACAGAGGUCUACUGGAAGGGAGGAGCCCGAGGCGAGUCCACUGAAUGUGGGCACUUCCCAUUUUGGAUGCUGCAGAGAGUCUCCAGCAGCAAGAAGGCAAUCACAAGAUGCAGCCUCACAGCCUUGGACUUACCAGCCUC